UACGAAGGGGGCUAGCGUUGCUCGGAAUUACUGGGCGUAAAGCGCGUGUAGGCGGAUGAGCAAGUCUGCUGUGAAAGCUCCUGGCUUAACCGGGAGUGGUCGGUGGAAACUGCUCGUCUGGAGGACGGUAGAGGUAGGUAGAAUUCCCGGUGUAGUGGUGAAAUGCGUAGAGAUCGGGAGGAAUACCUGUGGCGAAGGCGGCCUACUGGGCCGGACCUGACGCUGAGACGCGAAGGCGUGGGGAGCGAACGGG
rnacentral:rRNA from 1 species